rnacentral:piRNA from 1 species
UAGAAAAUGAGAAUUAAGAUUGCUAAGGCA